rnacentral:tRNA from 1 species
GAGGGUAUAGCUUAAGUGGUAGAGUGCAUGCUUAGCAUUCACAAGGUCUUGGGUUCAAUCCCCAGUACCUCCU